GGGGAUAUAACUCAGUUGGUAGAGUGUUUGCUUUGCACGCAAAAAGCCAUCGGUUCGAAUCCGGUUAUCUCCA
rnacentral:tRNA from 1 species